rnacentral:lncRNA from 1 species
GGUGGGGGCGGUGCCUCUAGGCCUGGUGAUGGGAGGAGACCCGCCGCCACGUCCAGAAGGCGAGGAAGAGAGGGAGAGUUUGACUGCCAGACUGACGUGGCCCCAUCAGAUACAAGCACAGAGAGCCAUUGCAGAGUGUUCAGCCAGUGUGACCCCACCAAAUGUCAUCUCUGCCGAGAUUUCCGCUCCAUCGGGAGUCAUGGACGUCCCUGAAGAGGCCGCGCUGUUAAUGGAGGGUGUAGUGAAGGGAGGAUACCCUGUAGACAUUCCCACUCAAUCAACUGUAGACUUGACAAGCAUUGGCCAGUCAGAAUUAGGAUGUGAAAGCGCUUUUAACAAAUCUAGACUAGAGCCCGGUGCUGUUGAACAGUUUAAAGUGGGCUACACAGUUUUAGACAAACGUGAGGAACAGAACUUUCCUUCCAGCAUCAGUGAUGUAAUCCGGCCAAUGGAGAUGGCAGAGUUGGUGGACAUCUUGCCCACGCUGAGUCUCAUUGAGGAAGAGACGCCCAGUGGCCUGUCCUCACCAUCAGUUAUGGAUAUGCUAGAGAGCUUCGGACUGAGGAUCGGCGAAAGCAAAACCUUCUUCGACUUGGAGAAUUCAGACUUGAUCAACGGAGCCGGGUGUCUGUCAAAGCCCAACCCGGACUGUAACAGCACCAGUAGCGUGACAGAAACUCACUGUAAGAACUCGGGCAUGUUGGCCUUCCAUGGCAAGGUGAAUGCCACAGGUGGCGACGUGUCUGUUAUGAGCUGGCAUUUUCCUCCAGAGGAUACAGAGACUCAGCAGGUUCCCAGCAAGGGAGCGUGCUUUACGUUAAGACACCAGGUGGAGUGGGACAGACCUGCUGACAGUUCUUCCUGAUAUCGACUCAAGCACCAGCCUACUUUGUAAAAAACCAAAUCAGUAGGCUGCAGCAUAGUUGAUUUACAGACAGAAAAUCCUAGUUGGACAUUUUUUAUUUUGUCGAUCAGUGUCCAACAUUUAAUAUGAACUGCUGUGGAGGUAAAUUGUGGAGGAAAAUUCAAGUGACAUCGAAAUACAACUUCAUCUAACACAUGAUUUAUGUGGUUUGCACAUUUCUGGGCCUCUAGUUCAUAUUUUCUAAUAUUCAGUUCACUGGAGCUUAUUGUGUGGAAAAACUAAACUAUAGUCAUAGUUUUUAUGACUUGAAGCUCCAUCACUCACUACAGGACAAAGCAACAUUGCUGCUCAGUGGAGCUAGUAAACAAACUCAUUAAAAUGGAAAUGUUUGCUUUGCAGUCUAUAAAAGGCUGCCAUGCUGUACUGUAUGUGUAGUAAAUCGUUGUGUUUCUCUUUGGUUUACCUGUGUGCACUUUGGCAUUACAUAACAAAACAGAAGCAAGAUUUAUAAUCCUGUUGCUUAUAUAUUAACUGCUGUCGGUCCUACCGAGUUCUACCGGUUCCUGCCAGUUCUGAUAUCCAAGUUCUGAGCCCAGAUAUGGACAGAUAAUGAGAGAAGAAACGCAUGUUGCGUGGGUGCUGCAAGAAAACCAAACUCAAGAUGUGAACUUACAGUUGUGAGAAGGACGUAGAGGAUCAUUUCUUCUUCAGUUUCCUUAGUUACGGUAUUUUCACCAAUGAUCCUUCACUACAAAUGCCUAUACAAAAGCAGGAUUUCAAAAAGUACUCAAAAGUUUCUUUUAUUUGCCUACUACAUUACAAUUGUCUGGGCCUCAAUUUGUUAAGGAAAAUGCAAGCCAUUCAAAUUCCCACAUUCAUGUCUGCUCUUUUUUGCUUCGGAGAUUUGUUCUCACAUUGUUGUAUCUGUAUCUUUACCUCCUUCUGCAUGGCAGAGAUUGAACUACAGCCAAGGAAACACGCACACAGCUUUUUUAAUGUUUUGGUAGUAACCAAAGAGAGAGUGAGCGAAUUGUGAUGAUUGGAUAAAGAGUUUGUGUGUCAAAGGGAAUUACAGGGACAAUGCAGACAACACAGACUGGAAUAAAGGCUGGAGAGAAAUAUUAAGGCGCAUGUGACAAGUGUCAGAGUGAGGUGAAGGUUUUCCUGCUUGAAUCUCUGCUUUUGUCUUGACAACGGAGCGGUGAAAUAAAGUGAUGUAUUCGAGGCAUACUGAAAUGACAAGAAAAGAUUACAGUUGAACAGAAUGAGCUUUUCCUUAUAUGGCUCCAUAUAUGGCUGUUUUUUAUUAGGAGGUAUUAUCUUUGGUAGGAAAAUGAUAAAUACUUAAGUGAGUUAAAACAUUCAAACUUCAUGAAUGGUCAUUAUGUAUUCAACUGUUAAGUCAGUUGAACUGCUGCCCAAACUACUGUUGUUAAAAAUCCUAUUAAAUACUGCCUGCUUUAGCAUUCUAUGUUUGCAUUCCCUAAAUGUCUUCUAUUGUGUGUGUAAAAAGGGGAAUAAAUCAAUGUUUGUAGC